rnacentral:rRNA from 1 species
GGCGAACGGGUUGAGUAAUGCAUCGGAACGUGCCCAGUCGUGGGGGAUAACGCAGCGAAAGCUGUGCUAAUACCGCAUACGAUCUAUGGAUGAAAGCGGGGGACCUUCGGGCCUCGCGCGAUUGGAGCGGCUGAUGUUAGAUUAGGUAGUUGGUGGGGUAAAGGCUCACCAAGCCGACGAUCUAUAGCUGGUCUGAGAGGACGACCAGCCACACUGGAACUGAGACACGGUCCAGACUCCUACGGGAGGCAGCAGUGGGGAAUUUUGGACAAUGGGCGAAAGCCUGAUCCAGCAAUACCGCGUGCAGGAAGAAGGCCUUCGGGUUGUAAACUGCUUUUGUACGGAACGAAACGGCGCGCUCUAAUAAAGUGCGUUAAUGACGGUACCGUAAGAAUAAGCACCGGCUAACUACGUGCCAGCAGCCGCGGUAAUACGUAGGGUGCAAGCGUUAAUCGGAAUUACUGGGCGUAAAGCGUGC